UAAUACCGUAUAUUUUUGACGGGGGAAAGAUUUAUCGGUGAUGGAUGAGCCCGCGUCAGAUUAGGUAGUUGGUGAGGUGAUGGGGUCACCCAGCCGACGAUCUGUAGCUGGUUUGAGAGGAUGAUCAGCCACACUGGGACUGAGACACGGCCCAGACUCNUACGGGAGGCAGCAGUGGGGAAUAUUGGACAAUGGGCGAAAGCCUGAUCCAGCAAUACCGAGUGAGUGAUGAAGGCCUUAGGGUUGUAAAACUCUUUUAGCAAGGAAGAUAAUGACGUUACUUGCAGAAAAAGCCCCGGCUAACUCCGUGCCAGCAGCCGCGGUAAGACGGGGGGGGCUAGCGUUGUUCGGAAUUACUGGGCGUAAAGAGUGCGUAGGCGGUUUAGUAAGUUGGAAGUGAAAGCCCGGGGCUUAACCUCGGAAUUGCUUUCAAAACUACUAAUCUAGAGUGUAGUAGGGGAUGAUGGAAUUCCUAGUGUAGAGGUGAAAUUCUUAGAUAUUAGGAGGAACACCGGUGGCGAAGGCGGUCAUCUGGGCUACAACUGACGCUAAUGCACGAAAGCGUGGGGAGCAAACAGGAUU
rnacentral:rRNA from 1 species